UUUUAUAAGUAUUGAUUUCAGAUACAUGUAUGACAUUGCAUGCUUGAUCGGGGAGGGGGGCUACAGUUAGAUAAUAUUCUGGUCAGCACAUUCGAUAAACUACAGUUGUACAUGGAACUCAUUAAAUCACUUCUUUUUCUUUCAGUGGUCAUCAACUUUUAAUCUCCAAGAAGGAAAUGUAAUUAAAAGAUGAAUAAAGUAUCCCUAAGAAUACCAGAAGAAAGGCUGUGUUGAGAAAAACAGCCCUUCCUCAGUACCUCAGAACUAGAUGAUAGCCCUUGUUACUUUAUGCUGAAUAUGACACAGUAUAGAAGAUCUGAUCAUGAAGAAGUUACACCAUUGAUACACUUGUCAACUGCCAAAACUACUUUCUGAUAGUAUGACGAGAUUAGAAGAUAUCAUGGUGUAGUCAUGACACAAACUGCAAAUCAAAGAUUGUCUUCCCCAGAGGAUGAACAGAGUGCUUCACAUGGAUAACAUUUCCUUUUCGAGUUUUGAAAUUAUCAAACAUAAUUUUGCAUCAAAGAGAAAAAGUGGCUUUGACAUAACCUAGAAAAUACAAUAUUCAUUAAAAAGAGCAUGGCACCAGGAUAGCUAGAUGCCCAUAUUCCCAGCAAAAUGAGCCAGUCCUAAAGAGAGUCCACUAGAGAUGAAAUAAAACUCAUUAAAAUGUAUUGAGAAAAGAUUUGUCAGAAUGUUAUGCAUCAUGAUCAACAGAAAAGAACUUCACAGGUAGACCAAAGCUGACAUGGGAUGAGAUCCUAAAACGAGACCUAGAGUUUAGAGGAUUGGAUAGGAUCAAUCCACUGGGUCGCCAAGUGUGGAAGUACAAACUUCAACCUCGACAGGACAGCCAGGCCUCACCCUUGAAAAAUAUUAAUUUGGCCUGGAUAGUCAAAAUGAGUGAUGAUGAUGAUAUCAAGGUCUGACACUGUAAGCUCAGUAAGGGUAGAUGCUGGCAAUGGAGCUGUUAAGCAAUACAACAAACAGGUUUAACAUUGAACAUGUUUAUAUACUUUUUUAGCUCACCUGAGCCAAAGGCUCAAAUGAGCUUUACUGAUCACCUUUGCCUGUCGUCUGUCUCUCUGUAAACUUUUCACAUUUUCAUUUUCUUCUCCAGAGUGAACCACUGGGCCAGUUUCAAUCAAACUUGGUAUGCAUCAUCAAUAGAUAAAGGGUAUGCAAAAAUAGGGUGGGGUCAUUUAAAACAUCUUUUCAAGAACCACUGGACCAGGAAAGUUGAAUUCACAUAAAAGGUUCCUGUUUUGUGCAAAUCAUGGUAUCCGGGGGUAGGGUGAGGUCACAAUCGAGGAUCAAAGUUUUACAUUCAUAUAUAGUACAGAUUCAAGUUUGUUAAAGGUCAUGGCUCACAGGGGUAGAGUGGGGUCACAGUAGGGGAUCUAAGUUUUAUAUGUGAAAUAUAUACAAGGAAAAUCUUUUAAAAUCUUCUCCUAAAAAACUAGAUGCAUAACUAAACCCAAAAUCGUAGCUCUUUGAGAAGAUAUUGGGGCAAGUCAGAGCGCUAGAGCUUCAGAUGAACCCCUUAUUAAAAAUUUUCAAUUUACGGCACAGAAAAAAAAGUGCAUGGUUAAGUCCCUCUAUCACUGCAUUCCUGCAUCGCUGUCUCAUGAAUUUAAUAUUAAAGAAUUCCUAACAUAUUUUCCCACUAUACUUGUUUCCAAGCAUAC